rnacentral:lncRNA from 1 species
UCCCAUGGCGACCGAUGCGUCCCGCGCUCUAGGCGAAGACCGCGGCCCCGUCCCCGCGCCUCCACCGCCUUCUUCCAGGAGGAGGGGCCGUGCGGCGCCUGCCCGGGGGCCCUCAGGCCGCAGGCGGGCGCGAGCUUCAGGGAACUUAGGGGGCUCCCGCCUCCCCGGCCACGCGAGCGGGAACAGUCUCCUCCACUCGGAGCGCCACUCAUCAUGCCUUACCUGGAUGAUGCAGAAGUCCCUGGAAACAGAAGGUCUCACCCUUCUUUAUCUUUCUCAUGGCUUUCCAAGGCUCUUUAUCAUGUUACUUUCCUGCUCAGAAUUCUUUAAUGACUUGCCUCAAUGACCAGAUACAUGUGAUCUACAGUCAGCCUUCCAGCCUCAUCAUUCCUCUUCCAUUUCCUCCCCAGAAACACUGUACUUUAUGAAGCUCCUCCAAGACGAAAAAUAAAUUCAAAUAUGGAAUAAAAAGCCCAAACUCAUGAAACUGGACUGACUUUGCUUCUUAAAAAUUCAACAUGCUGCAGCUGCAUGCUUAAACCUGGUUCAAACAGGAUGAUGAAAUAAAACAUUAUUAUUGUGGGAAUAUAACACUGUCUAAAUAAAUAGCCAACAUGAAAACUGUCUCUAAAACCCAUAGCAUCUGUAUGUGCAGACUGUAAGUAAGUUAUAUAAUUCCUCCACUAUUCUGUAACAUGGCCAAUUCAGAAUGUCUUACCAUUAAUCUUGAAGACAUUUAAAGAUGUUCACUUUUCUAACUCUUCCCUUUGAAAAUAUAUUUGAACCUUAUUUGCAAUAAAAAUCUCAUAAUAUUGUAUUA